UACAGAGGUCCCAAGCGUUGUUCGGAUUCACUGGGCGUAAAGGGUGCGUAGGCGGUCGGGUAAGUCUGAUGUGAAAUCUCACAGCUUAACUGUGAAACUGCAUUAUACUAUUCGGCUAGAGAGUUGGAGGGGGGACUGGAAUUCUUGGUGUAGCAGUGAAAUGCGUAGAUAUCAAGAGGAACACCAGUGGCGAAGGCGAGUCCCUGGACAACUUCUGACGCUGAGGCACGAAAGCUAGGGGAGCAAACAGG
rnacentral:rRNA from 1 species